ACGGGUGAGUAACGCGUGGGAACGUGCCUUUCGGUUCGGAAUAAUCCAGGGAAACUUGGACUAAUACCGGAUACGCCCUUCGGGGGAAAGAUUUAUCGCCGAAAGAUCGGCCCGCGUCUGAUUAGCUAGUUGGUGAGGUAAAGGCUCACCAAGGCGACGAUCAGUAGCUGGUCUGAGAGGAUGAUCAGCCACAUUGGGACUGAGACACGGCCCAAACUCCUACGGGAGGCAGCAGUGGGGAAUAUUGGACAAUGGGCGCAAGCCUGAUCCAGCCAUGCCGCGUGAGUGAUGAAGGCCUUAGGGUUGUAAAGCUCUUUUGUCCGGGAAGAUAAUGACUGUACCGGAAGAAUAAGCCCCGGCUAACUUCGUGCCAGCAGCCGCGGUAAUACGAAGGGGGCUAGCGUUGCUCGGAAUCACUGGGCGUAAAGGGCGCGUAGGCGGACUUUUAAGUCGGAGGUGAAAGCCCAGGGCUCAACCCUGGAAUUGCCUUCGAUACUGGGAGUCUUGAGUUCGGAAGAGGUUGGUGGAACUGCGAGUGUAGAGGUGAAAUUCGUAGA
rnacentral:rRNA from 2 species